AACAAAAUGUGACAUCAAGUCAUGCGGUUCGUUAGCUGAAAUCAAACAAAGCCACAGGCAUGUUGGUUGCCUGGCAAAAUGUUGAUUUAAAGUCGUUGUUUUUCGUAUUCCUCCCCUAAAGCUGUUUGAAAGUUGCGUUACUCAAUUUGCUAAUUUAUGGUCCACACAAAAGGUAGCAGCAAUAGCAGGUGACAAGUCGGCCUGAAACGUUCAGGUGCCAAAGGAGGUGGAGAUGAUAGCACCCUUGGAAGGGGCCCUCGAUGUAUUCACCAUAAAAUAACUCGCUAUUCAAGUGCGCUGAUCUUAUUCAUUACAAUUAGUUUGUCACCAAACAAUGUGCAACAUUGUGGACUUUGUUUACGCUCUGAUUAGAGCACUAAAUAUAGACUAAAAUGGGGAGAAAAGGGGAAGACAGUUGAUGAUAUCGGGAAGGUUGGGGUAGGAAAGAGUCAAUUUGCAAUCACAACUGCAUAAUUGCCCAGACACGCUGGAUGUUUUCAAUUUUCGCCUCUAAUUAGCGCCGGUUCAACAAAAAGUCCGCUAUUGAUAUGAGUAAUUUGCCGUGAUAAAAUUGUUUUAGACAAUAUUUAUGCUUGGACAGUCACCCCAGGAGCGCGAACGCUCCGGAUCUUCGGAUACGAUGUCCAUCUUAAUCUGGAGCGUUGGCUGAACACUGAAGAGACGCGGCUUUGGUUUUUUAUUUCGUUUUUUGGGGCCUGCAGCUCUAAUUGACGUGUGUCUGGUAUCAUACAGACCCGAGUUGACAAACUUUUCGACGCAUCAUCAUCAUCAGCACCAUCAUCAGGCUUAUCAUCGUCACGUGCUAUCAUGCGAACAAGUGGCGAACAAAGCGGCUUAAUUAGCAUUCGUGUGUCAUCUGCUGGGGUUUUAAGCCUUAUAAGCAAAUGUAUCUGGCUGUAUAACCGUAAGUGUGCUUCGAUAGGCUAAUCCGUCCGCAGGUCAUCUGCAGGGUGAAUAACUCGGGGAAUCCUCUGUUAGGAAAUUCACUUGGGGGUUAGGGCUUUAAUUGCUGUUUUUUGUAAUCAUUAUAAGGCGAUUAAGAAUCAUCACCGUAUAUGUAGGGAUUUCUGGAAGGAUGCCUAUGCCUAGGAAGCAUCCGGCAAGCAGUUCGUGGAUUUUAAAGUAUGUCCCCUCCAAGGAUUUUAAUAAAUUCUUUCUCUUUUAUUUUAAAUUUUUCAAAUAUUUAAAAUUUGUUUUUAAUAUCUUUUAGGGUUUUUUAUUUUCUGGAUCUAUACUUUUAUUUAUUUUCAUCAUUUAAAAAAGAAUUCUGAACUGCUAUUCGGUAAAAUUUUUUUUUUAAUGUGAAGUUAUACCCAGCAUUAUAUAUUUUAUUUAGUUUUUGUAUCUGAUCUGAUUAUUAACAAAUAAAGUCUGUAAGUGCA